UACGGCUCAGUAACACGUGGCCAAACUACCCUACAGACCGCGAUAACCUCGGGAAACUGAGGCCAAUAGCGGAUAUCACUCUCAGACUGGAGUGUCGAGAGUGAGAAACGUUCCGGCGCUGUAGGAUGUGGCUGCGGCCGAUUAGGUAGAUGGUGGGGUAACGGCCCACCAUGCCGAUAAUCGGUACAGGUUGUGAGAGCAAGAGCCUGGAGACGGUAUCUGAGACAAGAUACCGGGCCCUACGGGGCGCAGCAGGCGCGAAACCUUUACACUGCACGACAGUGCGAUAGGGGGACUCCGAGUGUGAGGGCAUAUAGCCCUCGCUUUUCUGUACCGUAAGGUGGUACAGGAACAAGGACUGGGCAAGACCGGUGCCAGCCGCCGCGGUAAUACCGGCAGUCCAAGUGAUGGCCGAUAUUAUUGGGCCUAAAGCGUCCGUAGCUUGCUGUGUAAGUCCAUUGGGAAAUCGACCAGCUCAACUGGUCGGCGUCCGGUGGAAACUACACAGCUUGGGGCCGAGAGACUCAACGGGUACGUCCGGGGUAGGAGUGAAAUCCUGUAAUCCUGGACGGACCACCAAUGGGGAAACCACGUUGAGAGACCGGACCCGACAGUGAGGGACGAAAGCCAGGGUCUCGAACCGGAUUAGAUACCCGGGUAGUCCUGGCUGUAAACAAUGCUCGCUAGGUAUGUCACGCGCCAUGAGCACGUGAUGUGCCGUAGUGAAGACGAGAAGCGAGCCGCCUGGGAAGUACGUCUGCAAGGAUGAAACUUAAAGGAAUUGGCGGGGGAGCACCACAACCGGAGGAGCCUGCGGUUUAAUUGGACUCAACGCCGGA
rnacentral:rRNA from 1 species